GUGCUCUGCUGUGUUCUACUCUUACACCCCUGCGACUAAUCCCCCUCAUCGCCCGCCCCCCUCGUCUCGUCUCCCCCCCUCCGCUUCGCGCAUCUCACCGCCAUCUCACUCCCGAACCCACCCUCCUUUCCUUCCCGCGUCUAAUUGAGCGCCAAAGCGGGGGGACAUUUGAAUUCCCCGCAGCUUCCGCUUCCAGUGGCUUCUCGAACCUUCCGGAGGCGCCGCCGGCCGGUGCCGGCUCUAUCCCCUUACCCCCCCUAGGGUUUCGCGUUCCCCUCGGGGAUGGGGGACGCCCCCGCCGCCGCCGCGGCGGCGGCGGCAGCGUCGCCCGCUUGUGCCUCGCGGAAGCGGCGACGCGGCGAUGACGGCGCGGGGCUGAGGCGGGUGGCGGAGAUCGUGAUGGUGCUGGCCGCGGCCGGGGAGGUGCGCGGCGGUAGGGAGCCCACGGCGGCGGAGCGGGCGCUCGCGGCCGAGGCGCGGGAGGCUCUGGCCGCCGCCGUCGCCGAGGGGCCCGUGCGGCCCAAGGAUCUGUUCCCUGGGGAGGCGGUGCGCGAGGUCGUCGAGGAUCUCGGGCUCAACCGCGCCAAGGACCCAGCUGCCAUGGGCUUUCGCCCGCCUAAGGCCUCCAUCGCCGAUAGGCUCAUGCUUACUAAGCGCAAGAUGGAAGAAGUCAAGGAAGCUCCAGUGCAAUCAACAGUUAGCGCACCGCAAACGGUCGUCUUAAGUGGAAUGUCUGAGUUCCAUGGUUUGAAUGGGACUACCAAGUUUGGUGUUGGAGUUCCUAGGAACCCGCCAGUUCCAUCUUUAGCUGCUACUGCCCCAUUAACCUCUACAUCCGCAGCUACCUUGAAACCACCAGGAUCAUCUCCUGUAAAACCAGUUGCCAACUCAUCAGUUGUUCCCCAACUCCAUACUGGUCCAUCAAACCUUAAAUUGGACAAAAAUGUUAGUGGUCCUCAGAAUUUAGCACGCAGUGGAGUAACUGUUGUCCACUCAAACAAGUCAACUCUAGAAACAUCUGCUAGGUCCAAUGUAAAUGCUGUACAGAGUUCCAAUCAGAUGGUGAAAAACCAGGACACAAAACCAGUGGCCGUUCAAGCCAUGACAGUUAACCCUGUUAUAGGGCAUCGUGCCACACCAGGUGUGGCAUUUGUUCCGCCAAAACCUACUUUCGUCAAUCACAAUGAGAUAGCAAAGAAUGUUCAACAGUUUUUGCACCAACCUGCAAACCAUCCUAGCUGGACUCCACCAUCAACUGAGUACAUGCAUUCUUGCUUGAGUUGUCAAAUAUGCAAAGUUGUUAUCAUUGGUACAGACAGUGUACUUGUUUGUGAUGCUUGUGAGAGGGGAGUACACUUGAAAUGCCUUCAGCAGUAUGGCAAUAAAGGUGUCCCUAAAGCUGAGUGGCAUUGUUCUGCAUGCCUGACUCAGAGUAAGGGCAAACCCUUGCCACCAAAAUAUGGCAAGGUUACAAGAACUGUAGUUGCAUCAAAGGUUGCUCCACCUGGUGGUGGAGCACAACUUUCUUUGCAGGGAUCAGCAGAAAACAUGGCUGCAAAGGAAAAUCACCAAAAGUUGGCUGCAAAUGGGAAUUUGAUGAAGCCAAUCUCCAUUCAAGGUGGCAGCACAACACCCAACAGUAAUGUUUUGGCACUGGGUGCUAUCAUGGCUGGUUCACAAUCACAAUUAGUUUCUACCUUAAGACCAUCAAUAGUUAAAGCUGAACUGUCCUCUAAUGGAAAGGAAGGAACUGGGCAACCGUGCAAUACUACAAUACAACCUGAUGUGAGAUCAUCCUCUCUUAACAAAAGAUUGAGAAGUGAUUCGUCUUUGAACCCUGCAGAUUCAGCAAACGAUAUCAUGCAUGGUAAGCAUACUGCAGAAAUUUCUGGUGCUGAAGCAAAGGUCAAGUCUGAAGCAAACUCUGAGGCCCCUGUGAGCAGAGAUGAGGAAUUGGUUGAUAGCAGUAGAACAACAAUUGAAACUGAACAAACCCAGGUUGUUGCUAGUGAAGAAAAGCCCAGGGCACAAUCAGCCUUUGAGACAGAUAAAAUGAAAGAUGGAAAGACAACUACCAACACAGGAACAACAACAGAUCAAUGCAGCAACUUCGGUACUGAACAAAAGCUCCCCAGUGAAGCAACUUCUGAGGCACACACAAUUAUUGACAUGAAGAUGACUAACAGUACUGGAAUACCAGUACAGCAAAGCAACAUUUCUCCUAUUGAAGAGAAAACCCAGAUUGAUGCAGUGUCUGAUUCACAUCCACAUACAAUCCAAGAUAUGGAAAUGGGCACCAACAAUGGACCACCCAUAGAUCAAAGCAGCAGUCUUGUUACUGAAGAAAAGCCCCCUGAACAAUCCUUUUCAAUUGGUGAUGUGUGUGUCACUGCUAAUGCUGGAAUAGCAACAGAUCAAACACAACAUCCAAAUGGGUCAACUGAAAAUGUAGUAAAGAAAUCUCCCAACAGAGAACUAUAUAAAGAGGAAUCAGGCUGUAAUGCAGUCUCAGAUAUUACCCAAAAAGUAACUUCAAAUGGCAUCUUGCACCCUGAGGACAAAACUUUAUGUGUUCAUGAAGAUGAAGCAGUGGGUUGUGACACAGAAGCAAAAGAAGCAGCAAACUAAUUUCGUAGCAGGUUGCAUCCAAUUUUCGUUUUUCAGUUGGAACUAUGCUGAAUCUACCAUUUAUUUUACCAACAUCAGUGAUCAACUGUGUUCUCUACAUUCUCUUGGACAGCUUUAUACAUUUAGCCAUCACCAACCAUUUUUCCAGGAGGUUUGUUCUGUACCCCUUGGAAACAUGCUCACCAGACCCACUCCAUUCGUAGUUCACUGGUAUCCACUGCCUCCUGGUGUAGUUAGAGAAUCCUAGAACACAGGAAAUAUAAUCGUGAUGUUGUACUUUAUGUAGAUUGAUAAUCUUGAGUUCCUAACUAUUUAAUUACAUUCCCCUUUUAUUUGUUCUGUGCUCAUCUGUAAUGGUGUAAUUAGAUAGGGUGUAGCUGAGUUAGGACUGGAUUAUCAAGUCACAAUAAUGAUAUUUGCCUUCGUCAUCA